rnacentral:rRNA from 1 species
AUUGAACGCUGGCGGCAGGCUUAACACAUGCAAGUCGAGCGGAGAUGAGGUGCUUGCACCUUAUCUUAGCGGCGGACGGGUGAGUAAUGCUUAGGAAUCUGCCUAUUAGUGGGGGACAACAUUCCGAAAGGAAUGCUAAUACCGCAUACGUCCUACGGGAGAAAGCAGGGGAUCUUCGGACCUUGCGCUAAUAGAUGAGCCUAAGUCGGAUUAGCUAGGUGGUGGGGUAAAGGCCUACCAAGGCGACGAUCUGUAGCGGGUCUGAGAGGAGGAUCCGCCACACUGGGACUGAGACACGGCCCAGACUCCUACGGGAGGCAGCAGUGGGGAAUAUUGGACAAUGGGGGGAACCCUGAUCCAGCCAUGCCGCGUGUGUGGAGAAGGCCUUAUGGUUGUAAAGCACUUUAAGCGAGGAGGAGGCUACUGAGACUAAUACUCUUGGAUAGUGGACGUUACUCGCAGAAUAAGCACCGGCUAACUCCGUGCCAGCCGCCGCCGUAAGAC